AUGGCUGCUGGAGAAACAGGAGCGGUCAGUCAUUUGGCCUGGAGGUCAAAGGUCAGCGCCCGCUCCCCAGAGGCUGAACCCCACUGCGGGACCUGAGUUGUGCUUUACUGCCGCUCAGAUCAGAGUGGCAGGAAGCGGCUCCACGGCUGCUCUGACUCAUUCUAAAUGCCAACACGGCGCCAGCUUGCGUGACGACGAUUAAUGUAAUGUAAUAACGCGUCUGCUUCAGGCUUCGUGGCACGAUAUCAGGAAAUACCGAGGCCUCCACAAUCAGGUUGAAAGUGAGAGAUGUGCCGCUCGCGCUCACUUUGACUAAGCCCCUGCGAUAUUUUAGUCAUUUUGCAACGGCUUGCGUGACUCGCGCUUCAAGUCGUUGGCACAGGGGAAAUCGUGGGUUUACAGAUCAGUCAGUGUCGCGUGCUAAACUGUCUUUAAAGGAAGGUUCCACAAUCACCUUUACUCAUUUGUGCUAAGUCUAUUCACUGAGCCACGCUCUUUUCUUAGAUAUUCUCUGAGCUGCUUUAUGUGGUGCUGGAGUCGCACGCUGAGGAGAACCCCUGCGAGGAGCAGUUUUCACCAGAACAGCUUCUUCGUUGCACGUCGAGCAGGUAAAAGUCAAAGUUUCUGCUUCGCUCACUCGACGAGCUGAAGGUGUGAAGUCGCUGUGUGUGUGUGUGUGUGUGUGUGUGUGUGUUCACUCAGCAUGACUGUAACUGUGUGAGUAUGAGUGUGUUCAUGUGGUGGAGGCGCUGAAAUAACCCAGCGUGUGGACGUAUCAGUCAUCAGUCAGACGUCCAGCAGCGUAUUUUAGUGGGAGUAAAGGAGUUCACGCUGACAGUCAGAGCUGACGCUUGACCCAAACUACACACAAACAGCUGAUGACUCUGGGAAUGAAUGUGUGCUUUUAUUUUUACUACAAUUUUACAUGUAACAGGAAUGAGUCACAUUAAAUUUGCUGUGGAAGUGAAUGAAGUGAAGUAAUGUGGUUAAUAAUGUAAUGUACAACACAAAUACAAUUAUUGAACAAAUAAAAAAAAAUAAAAAUCUG